rnacentral:rRNA from 1 species
CAGUCGCCGCGGGAAUACGUAGGUGGCAAGCGUUGUCCGGAAUUAUUGGGCGUAAAGGGCUCGCAGGCGGUUUCUUAAGUCUGAUGUGAAAGCCCCCGGCUCAACCGGGGAGGGUCAUUGGAAACUGGGAAGCUUGAGUGCAGAAGAGGAGAGUGGAAUUCCACGUGUAGCGGUGAAAUGCGUAGAGAUGUGGAGGAACACCAGUGGCGAAGGCGACUCUCUGGUCUGUAACUGACGCUGAGGAGCGAAAGCGAGGGGAGCGAACAGGAUUAGAUACCCCAGUAGUCCCUGUCUCUUAUAC